AACGUACGCUGGCGGCACGCCUAACACAUGCAAGUCGAACGAAGUAGCAAUACUUAGUGGCAGACGGGUGAGUAACAUGUGGGUAUCUACCCUUUGGCCUGGAAUAACACGAGGAAACUUGUGCUAAUACCGGAUAAGUCUUUACGGAGAAAGCUUUAUGCACCAUUGGAUGAGCCCGCACUUGAUUAGUUUGUUGGUAGGGUAAUGGCCUACCAAGACUAUGAUCAAUAGCUGAUUUGAGAGGAUGAUCAGCCACAUUGGGACUGAGACACGGCCCAAACUCCUACGGGAGGCAGCAGUGGGGAAUCUUGCACAAUGGAGGAAACUCUGAUGCAGCGAUGCCGCGUGAGUGAAGAAGGCCUUUGGGUUGUAAAGCUCUUUCGUCGGGGAAGAAAAUGACUGUACCCGAAUAAGAAGGUCCGGCUAACUUCGUGCCAGCAGCCGCGGUAAUACGAAGGGACCUAGCGUAGUUCGGAAUUACUGGGCUUAAAGAGUUCGUAGGUGGUUGAAAAAGUUGGUGGUGAAAUCCCAGAGCUUAACUCUGGAACUGCCAUCAAAACUUUUCAGCUAGAGUAUGAUAGAGGAAAGCAGAAUUUCUAGUGUAGAGGUGAAAUUCGUAGAUAUUAGAAAGAAUACCAAUUGCGAAGGCAGCUUUCGGGAUCAUUACU
rnacentral:rRNA from 1 species